rnacentral:rRNA from 1 species
UACGGAGGGAGCUAGCGUUGUUCGGAAUUACUGGGCGUAAAGCGCGCGCAGGCGGUUUCUUAAGUCUGAUGUGAAAGCCCACGGCUCAACCGUGGAGGGUCAUUGGAAACUGGGGAACUUGAGUGCAGAAGAGAAAAGCGGAAUUCCACGUGUAGCGGUGAAAUGCGUAGAGAUGUGGAGGAACACCAGUGGCGAAGGCGGCUUUUUGGUCUGUAACUGACGCUGAGGCGCGAAAGCGUGGGGAGCAAACAGG